UCAAAUCCUUUCAGGAUGUAUCCUUUCUGUUAGUGUACAAAGAGAAACUUUCUAGUUCAUUUACUUUUCAUGCAAGAAAUCAAGAAAAUCACUAAACAUUUUUAUCCUACCUCUGAAGUGAAUAUUAGAAAAAAGGAAGUGCUACAGUUCUUACCAAGGAUACACAUCUUGGAUGCAGUUAUUGGAAACUUUUAAAAUUUUGGUGGUAUCUUAUUGUCCCCUUUUUUCCCUGUCAUCUACAGUAGUAGGAGGCGAUUUUGCAAGCAUAUUAGUUCCAAUGUUAUGUGUGUGUCCUUUUAGUGUGCAGGUUUUUCUUUAGGAUGUGUUUGGUGAGGCCAUCACUCUCAGCAUCAAGUUCCAAAUGAGCAUGUUUCACAUGCUGUAUUUAGUCACCAGCAUCUCAUCAAGGAGCAAGGGGAAUCUCUGAGAACAAUCAUAGCUUAAAGCAAAGCAUACGUGCCAUGCAAAUAAAAUGUAUAUUUUAUAUAUGGUUUCCAUAAUACCAAGAAAAGAACUGAAGUUCAUAAGAUAUAACAGUGUGCACCUGGCUGGAAAAAAAAAAAAAAAAAAAAAGCCUUAGUGACAAGAAAAGUAUCAUGAUCAAUUUUAAAAAGAACAGACAACAAAAGUGGUUAUGCUAAGCAGAGACUUAGGAGAAGAUGGCGGUGAAAUUCAAUAAGAAUGAGAAUAGGAAAGAAUUUAAAAUAAGAAUAAAAAUGUAAUGAAGGAAAUAAAGCAAGAAAUGAUUGAAAAUAUCUUGGAAAAUCAGAUAUAUUAUGAAAAGAGAAAUAAUUUGGCAAAUCCAAAGAAAUAACAGACCAAAAAAAAAAAAAAGUCACAAAUAAAACCAUGGAGAUACUUCUGUCCAGAAUUUCUAAUUUUGGAAAGCUAAAGCUUUUGGGGUUUCGGGGAUGUAAAUAUUGCCCAUCAGUUUCCUUACCUGCUCUAGCUCAAAAAGGCUUCUGCUCCUUGCUCCCCCAUACCUCCCAGAGAAUGCUGAGUGAACUUUAAAAGUUGUAGAGGAAAUGCACUCUCAGUAUUAGUUUGUGUACUCAGAGACAUGAAUCUAUAUAAUUUUGAAAUUGCCUGAUAAACCCUGUGGUCCAUGGAGACUAAUCUGUAGUCUGGACCCCAAUUAUGGAAUUUUGUACUCAGUGGUCUUGUACUGGGCAUGAUUCCAAGUCACUGAGGCCUUUUCCUACAAUCUUUUGGAGCAUAAGAGACAUGGCUUGGUUUCAAAAUCUGUGACUUCUUCCGAGAACUUCCUAAAAAUAUCAUUCCAUCUGAUCCUGCCCCAGCACUUCUGGAAUCAUCAGUCCCUUAAAUUUUCAAACAGCACUUCUCCCUCUCUAUGAUUAUUUCCAAAGCACCCAUUUGAAUGAGGCAGUGCUCCUGUGGACCUUUACUCUAUAGUCUUCCUGAUGAGAGCUUUGAAAACAUUGAAACCAAUCAUUAUCUUC
rnacentral:lncRNA from 1 species